rnacentral:rRNA from 1 species
CACGGAGGGGGCGAGCGUUAUUCGGAAUUACUGGGCGUAAAGGGCGCGUAGGCGGCUUGGCAAGUCAAAGGUGAAAGCCCUCGGCCUAACCGAGGAACUGCCUUUGAAACUGCUUCGCUUGAGGCCGGAAGGGGGUAGCGGAAUUCCCGGUGUAGCGGUGAAAUGCGUAGAUAUCUGGAGGAACACCGGUGGCGAAGGCGGCAUCCUGGACCAAUACUGGCGCUGAGGAGCGAAAGCCAGGGGAGCAAACGGG